AGGGGAACUGUUGGGUCAUAUAGUUUCUAUGUUUAACUUUUUUGAGGAACUGCCAAAUUGUUUACAGAGGCUGCACCAUUCUACAUUUUCACCAGCAGU
rnacentral:pre_miRNA from 1 species